CUCAAUGAAAAUAAAUAGCCGCAACGUCCUUGUGCUAAGGUAGCAUAAUCAUUUGUUUUUUAAUUAAAAACUAGAACGAAAGAUUUAACAUUUUUAUUUCUCUCUUACAUAUAACAAUUAAAAUUAUUUUAAAUAUAAAAAAAUAUUUAUUCAUAAAAAAGACGAUAAGACCCUAUUAAACUUCACUAAAGUUAAACUGGGGUAGUUAAUUAAAUAUUAUUUUAAUUUAAAUUUCAAACAAACCUAAUAUAAUUAAAAUUAUCAAGUUACUAUAGGGAUAACAGCGUAAUAAAUUUUUCAAGCUCUCAUUCAAAAANUCAUUUACGACCUCGAUGUUGAAUUAAUAAUCUAUUAAAUGCAAUAAUUUAAUAAGAAAGUC
rnacentral:rRNA from 1 species